UACGGAAGGGGCAAGCGUUGUUCGGAAUCAUUGGGCGUAAAGGGCGCGUAGGUGGUUCUGUAUGUCUACCGUGAAAGCGUACGGCUCAACCGUAUUUUGUCGGUGGAAACUGCAGGACUUGAGGCUGGGAGGGGCUGGUGGAAUUCCCUGUGUAGCGGUGAAAUGCGUAGAGAUGGGGGAGAACACUCGUGGCGAAGGCGGCCAGCUAGACCAGUUCUGACACUGAGGCGCGACGACGUGGGGAGCAAACAGG
rnacentral:rRNA from 1 species